rnacentral:rRNA from 1 species
UACGAAGGGGGCUAGCGUUGUUCGGAAUCACUGGGCGUAAAGCGCACGUAGGCGGGUCUUUAAGUCAGGGGUGAAAUCCUGGAGCUCAACUCCAGAACUGCCUUUGAUACUGAAGAUCUUGAGUUCGGGAGAGGUGAGUGGAACUGCGAGUGUAGAGGUGAAAUCGUAGAUAUUCGCAAGAAACACCCAGUGGCGAAGGCGGCUCACUGGCCCGAUACUGACGCUGAGGCACGAAAGCGUGGGGAGCAAACAGGG